rnacentral:rRNA from 1 species
UAGUCCACACCGUAAACGAUGAUGCCAGUCGUCGGGUAGUAUACUAUUCGGUGACACACCUAACGGAUUAAGCAUUCCGCCUGGGGAGUACGGUCGCAAGAUUAAAACUCAAAGGAAUUGACGGGGCCCGCACAAGCGGUGGAGCAUGUGGUUUAAUUCGAAGCAACGCGCAGAACCUUACCAACCCUUGACAUCCUGUGACAACUCGAGAGAUCGAGCGUUCCUUAGGGACACAGUGACAGGUGCUGCAUGGCUGUCGGUCAGCUCGUGUCGUGAGAUGUUCGGUUAAGUCCGGCAACGAGCGCAACCCACGUCCUUAGUUGCCAGCAUUCAGUUGGGCACUCUAAGGAAACUGCCCGUGAUAAGCGGGAGGAAGGUGUGGAUGACGUCAAGUCCUCAUGGGCCCUUACGGGGUUGGGGCUACACACGUGCUACAAUGGUAGUGACAGUGGGUAAUCCCCAAAAGCUAAUCUCAGUUCGGAUUGUCGUCUGCAACUCGACGGC